UGAGGAAUAUUGGUCAAUGGGCGGAAGCCUGAACCAGCCAAGUCGCGUGAGGGAAGACGGUCCUAUGGAUUGUAAACCUCUUUUGCCGGGGAGCAAGGCACCGUCUCGUGAGGGGUGUCGGAGAGUACCCGGAGAAAAAGCAUCGGCUAACUCCGUGCCAGCAGCCGCGGUAAUACGGAGGAUGCGAGCGUUAUCCGGAUUUAUUGGGUUUAAAGGGUGCGUAGGCGGAUUUCUAAGUCAGCGGUCAAAUGUCGGGGCUCAACCCCGGCCUGCCGUUGAAACUGGAGGUCUUGAGUGGGCGAGAAGUAUGCGGAAUGCGUGGUGUAGCGGUGAAAUGCAUAGAUAUCACGCAGAACUCCGAUUGCGAAGGCAGCAUACCGGCGCCCGACUGACGCUGAGGCACGAAAGCGUGGGUAUCGAACAGGAUUAGAUACC
rnacentral:rRNA from 1 species